rnacentral:rRNA from 1 species
UACGUAGGGUGCGAGCGUUUAAUCGGAAUUACUGGGCGUAAAGCGUGCGCAGGCGGUUUGUUAAGACAGAUGUGAAAUCCCCGGGCUUAACCUGGGAACUGCAUUUGUGACUGGCAAGCUAGAGUAUGGCAGAGGGGGGUAGAAUUCCACGUGUAGCAGUGAAAUGCGUAGAGAUGUGGAGGAAUACCGAUGGCGAAGGCAGCCCCCUGGGCCAAUACUGACGCUCAUGCACGAAAGCGUGGGCAGCAACA